GGAGCUCAUACAGUCAGAGGAAGCAAGUGUUUGGCUUCAUGUGCUCGGAUGAAACACAAUGGCAACUUCCUGUUUUCUUUCUACUCGAAAGAACUUCCCACAACAUCAGAUGCACGUAUAGUCACCAAUAAUAAAUAAAGAAGAAGAAGUGAAGUCUAGCCUUCACAAUGAGGAGCUUUGACUGACAACAGUAGGCAUGUACUAUUCACAGAGGAGUUGUUUAUACAUUCAAUGAAAGAUUAAAGGACUAUGAAGGAGGACAUAUAAUAACGUCAGCUUCUACUGACAGCAAAGCUUGAAGACCCCAGUGGAUUGUUUUACCUGUUUUUUUUUUUUUAUUAUUAUUAUUAUUAUUAUUAUUUAAAGCUUUGCGUUUAGAUAUUUAUUGCACAGUUUAGAUGAGAGAGGUGUAUCUAUGAAGUGUGAGUGUGCAGCGAUGGAGAAGCUCGGAGAAGAUGGCUUUGAGAGAUGUGAACAGUUUGGGGACUGGUCCAGCUCUGAACACUGGGAUGAGGAUCACAGGGACAGCAGUGGCUUUGGGGACUGGGCUAGUUUUAAAGACGGACUCAGUGAAGAGAGUGAUUCUGCAGACUUAUUGUCUCAGGAAGGACAGACUUCUGGCCAUGAACACAAGGGGACUAUGUACACCAGCACCACAUCAAUUGUGCCUCUGUUAGUUGAUGUACGUGGACAUCCAAUUCUCAAGCUGAACCUCAAGCUUAAAAAAAUAAAUAAAAAUAAACUGCUCCAUGUAAAGUGAAGUGCAU
ensembl:lncRNA